rnacentral:rRNA from 1 species
AUACGUAGGUGGCAAGCGUUGUCCGGAAUUAUUGGGCGUAAAGCGCAUGUAGGCGGCGUGUUAAGUCUGUCGUGAAACUGCGGGGCUCGGCCCCGUAUGGCGAUGGAAACUGAUGUGCUUGAGUGCCGGAGAGGAAAGGGGAACUCCCAGUGUAGCGGUGAAAUGCGUAGAUAUUGGGAAGAACACCGGUGGCGAAGGCGCCUUUCUGGACUGUGUCUGACGCUGAGAUGCGAAAGCCAGGGUAGCGAACGGGAUUAGAUACCCCGGUAGUCCUGGCCGUAAACGAUGGGUACUAGGUGUGGGAGGUAUCGACCCCUUCCGUGCCGGAGUUAACGCAAUAAGUACCCCGCCUGGGGAGUACGGCCGCAAGGCUUAAACUUAAAGGAAUUGACGGGG